CAAAUCUUUAACUAAAAACUCAAACUAUUAAUCUCUCAAAUCAUAAACAUAACCCUUUACACAAACUAAUUAUAUAAGUCUUAUGAUGGAGUUAUUUAAAAUCACAUAACCACAAAAUUCUAAUCGAAAUUUAUAUUUCAAAUGUUAAAUUAUAAUAUCUAAUUUUUGAAUUAAGACAAUUUAUAAAACAAUUUUAAAGUAACGUAAAAACAAUUAUAUCAUGUUUUUUCUCAUGGCCAUUGAUCUAUUUUAUUCCAAAGGUCAAAACUAUUCUUUUAUCUAUCUUCAAUUUUAUUUUCAUUGGUUGAUUUUGCUUUCUCAAAGAUCACAAUUUGUAACCAUUAAUGAAAUAUAAUCUAAAGGCCACAAAUAAAUCUCUCUCUUUCUCAUUAAUAUUUUCAUUUAACGUCUUCUUCUCUUUCUAUUUUUUUUUCAGUCUCUCUUCAUCUCUUUCUUUCUUCUUCUCCUGCAACUAAAGCGUGAACAUGAAUCCAUGAAAGAGAAGCAGCUGGUUGUCGACUAGGGGUGGGAAUUUUAAUCAUAACCCGCGAGUCCCGCCCCGUUUGAUCCGCUGCGGGGAGGGUGCGGGUCGAGCGAUUUCAAAAUUUUGAUAUACGGGUGCGGGUGCAGGUCGUGAUUAAUUUAAGCGGGGCGGGUGCGGGUCAGCCGAAUAUGAGUCGCGGGUCGGGUGGUUUACCCGCGGGUUUUAGCGGGGCGGGCGCGGGUGUGAGAUUAUUGGUUUGCCGGUUAUGCGGGUUGGAAUUUUUUAGUCGAAAAAAUGACUUGAUCCGCGGGUCGCGGAGCGGGUUGCCCCGCGAACCCAGCUCUAUUGUUGACCACCAUCGAAGAAUCUGGGCUCUGUUCACGGCGACCUGCAUCAUGGGACUCCUCUCACUGUAACAAGGCUCCUCGCGCAGAGCAUAUCCCAGAUCCGGCAAUCACACCUCCUCCCACCGCAAUCCCUUCUUCAUGUCUCUCAGUCACCACUCCUCUCUUGCGAGAAAGGAAUCCAACACGCCAUGGAAGUCUUGGGAGGGAGCAUGUCUUCUCUUCACCGAUGCCUGAUCCCAGGGACGAAGGAGAAGAAGAACCAUGGCUGGAUGGUCAGAAGAUGAAGAAGACAAGAAGACGGCGGCUGGGAAUAGGUUUAGAUAGUAAUUAGGUUUAAUCUUUGUUUAGGUUUUUGGUUUAUUUGGUUUAAUCAUUUAAUUUGUAAAUCAUUUUUUUUGUAAACCAGUUUAGUUAUAAA